AUUGAACGCUGGCGGCAGGCCUAACACAUGCAAGUCGAGCGGAUGAAGGGAGCUUGCACCUGGAUUCAGCGGCGGACGGGUGAGUAAUGCCUAGGAAUCUGCCUGGUAGUGGGGGAUAACGUCCGGAAACGGGCGCUAAUACCGCAUACGUCCUGAGGGAGAAAGUGGGGGAUCUUCGGACCUCACGCUAUCAGAUGAGCCUAGGUCGGAUUAGCUAGUUGGUGGGGUAAAGGCCUACCAAGGCGACGAUCCGUAACUGGUCUGAGAGGAUGAUCAGUCACACUGGAACUGAGACACGGUCCAGACUCCUACGGGAGGCAGCAGUGGGGAAUAUUGGACAAUGGGCGAAAGCCUGAUCCAGCCAUGCCGCGUGUGUGAAGAAGGUCUUCGGAUUGUAAAGCACUUUAAGUUGGGAGGAAGGGCAGUAAGUUAAUACCUUGCUGUUUUGGCGUUACCAACAGAAUAAGCACCGGCUAACUUCGUG
rnacentral:rRNA from 1 species